rnacentral:rRNA from 1 species
GACAGAGGGGGCAAGCGUUGCUCGGAAUUACUGGGCGUAAAGGGCGCGUAGGCGGGAUGGCAAGUCGGUCGUGAAAUCCCUCGGCUCAACCGAGGAACGUCGAUCGAUACUGCUGUUCUUGAGGAUUGCAGAGGAGACUGGAAUUCCCGGUGUAGUGGUGAUAUGCGUAGAUAUCGGGAGGAACACCUGUGGCGGAAGGCGGCUUUCUGGGCCUUAC